rnacentral:rRNA from 1 species
AUGCUCAUUGUUUUGACUGUAAUACUAAUGGGAGCUAAAGUGGAAGGUGAGAGUUACAAUCCUGGAUACUAUGCUACAGGGGAUCUGCACAUGGACUCAAAUGGUUGGCGCUCUCCAUACUAUGAGGAUAAGACAUCAAAUGGGCAGUUGUACAAUGGCUUCAUGACGAAGCAGGCAGACGGUUAUUCAGAAUACGACAACGAAACGCUAAAGCGCACAAUGCUUUCACAUGAAGCUAUGUUUAGACAGCAGGUUUAUGAACUGCACCGGGUUUACAAAAUACAGAGAGACCUGAUGAAGCAUUAUGAAAACAAAGACGCAUAUGCAUACCCAGAACUGGCAGAUGCAUCACAGACAAAUUCGUCAUCACAAGUUCCACCAAAUGGCUCAAAGAUGAUAUGGCAGAUGCCUCUGGUGGCCAAAACAUACGGAGAGGCUACUGUUGCAGUGCACACUGAUACAAACCACUCCUUGAAGUUCCUUAGUGAUGGCAGUGUCCUGCCCUCUCCAAAUGGAUUCCCCUCAAAUGGUGUUGCUUUAAAUACCAAGCAAGGCAUUAUUGACCUUGAGCUUCCAGCUGAUCAUUAUAUAGAUGAUGACAACACAUCAGAUAAUAAGCCUAUAGAUUUCCUUGGUGUAGAUUCGGGUACAAAACCUCCGAAUGAUGCCAGGGUCACAUUCAGUGGUGCAGAAGGCCUGGGGAGGUUCAAUGAUAAUAGCUCAACCUCUGGUUUGCUGACUACCAAUAAACCGGGAGGCUGCCAUGUCGCUGACCUGAAUGAGCCAAUUACUGGGAUGCAUAUGGGUGGAACAAACGGGUCCGUAUCCAGAGCUCUCCUGUAUACCUUGGAGAACUCUUGGCACCAAUCUGCAGUGAGAUCAAGCACAGCUAACUUUGGUUUCAAUAAAGAAUACUCCAAAGAGAAGCAUACUGACGAAGGAACAAGCUCAAAUUUCCUUGAUGCAAGUGCCAAACUAAGACAGGAGGAGAAAUCAUUGAUUGAUAAAGGAAAACAAGUCAGCAACCAAUCUUUUUUUACACCCAGAUACAGCAAUGUUGAUCUGCAAAAAUCCUUCAAAGUUGCUGAUGGGAGAUCUGCAACCAAUGAGUUUAUUUACCAUGGUCAAAACAGUUCAGUUGGAUGGUUUUCAAAAGGUCCUAUGGGAGCAUCUCCCAUCAAUAAUUUUGCUAGACUUGACCAUCCACAUCAUUCAAGUAUUGGUACACCUGUUGCUCCAAUCUCCAUUCCUCACAUAGACCAUCCUUCCGUCGCCUCUCCUAUAGGUUCUUGCACAGUGGACCCAAGGAGCAGUGUUAUCAACAAUGCUUUCCAGCGAGUUCCAAGUUUCAAUGGAUCUUCAACUGUUAAUUCAUACAAGAGUCCUAGUGCUGUGACCCAAAGCAUUGGACCUUCAAUUCAUAAGCUGAAAAGAUUUGAUAAUUUGGAUGGUAGUUACUUUGGCUUUCCACCUGAUCCAUUUUCCGCAUCACGAUCCAGACAACAGGUUGCAAUUUCGAGCGAGUUGGAGCAAAGGAACUGCCUGAUGUUUGAACAUUCAGCAGCACGGCAGUCUCAUGGGUAUCCUCAGUCCACAAACGGCAAGGGCACAAAGAACUUUAAUUUGAAUGAAGCACUGUCAGAUGGUCUGGAAGAGCUUGUAGAACAGGAUGGGAGAUCUGUUGGUAGUUUGCAGCAUAGUAAAGGUGAAGGAUCAGUAUUUGGGAUCUCUUGGCUAAAAAAUAAAGCUACUUGUGCUGACCCAACAGGGCUGGAAAAGCAAAGAAAGAUGCUUGGCCAUUCCAACGGGACUGCAGCAGACACGAAAAUCAACAAUAACUUGACGGGAAUAACACCGAUUGUUUGCAAUUUGUCAGAUUCUGCCUCAACGUCCCUAGGUUGCAGAAUUAAGAUAGAUGAUGCUUCUGAAGGCAUCACUGAUAGAACUUGGCUGGUAUGUAAUAAGACUGAGGAGAGUACCACGAGACAUUUACCACUUUCAAGCCAGAAACCCUUGGAUAGAGAUGGACAAGCUGCUGAAGGUGUUGUCAACAAAAGUGGUGCGGCCGUCGUCAGAAAUUUGUUUGAUCUGAAUGAUGAUGUACCACAUGAAGACAACUCAGAGUCAUCAGUAGUGUCACAUGAAUGUGAUGUGGCGGCCUUACAGAACAACCAUGCUAAGCGCACAUUUUUGUUUGACUUAGAAGAAGUGCCAGCUUGUGAAGAUGGUGCUGCCUGGACUUCUCAACAGGAAUGCACACCUUCUGGCAAACUUGGUGCAUCCAAGGAAGUUGAUUUGUGUUUUCCAUCCGCUACAGAUGCAGCGCAGAUUAUUCUUGCGUUGUCAACGGAUGUGCCGACCACCACAGGCACACCCGAUGAUAUGUUGCAGUGGUUUGCGGAGCUCGCAAUAUCAAACAUGGAUGACCAUGCCGAGCAAGCAAAAGUCCAGGGUUGCAUCGAUAAUUCCAGUGAUGAUGGUUCAGACUCAUUUGAAGCCUUGACACUGAAGCUGGAAGAGUGCAAGACCGAUGAGCGCUGGACCAGGACACCAGAACCACCACUGACAGAUGAUGACCAAGCUGUUUCAGCGGUGAACCUGCUGUCCAAGCCAAAAAGAGGACCGCAAAGGAAGCGGCGGCAGAAGCGAGACUUCCAGAAGGACAUCUUGCCCGGGCUUUCAUCGCUUUCCCGGCCUAAGAUCAUAGAGGACAUUCAGCUAAUUGAGGGGUUAGUACAGGCAUCUGGUGGAUCAUGGGAGUCGAGUUUAACCAGGCGAGCGCGUGGUGGGCGAACAAGAGGUAGAAAGCCCCGCAAAAACGAGCCAGCUACCGUAGAGAUAGAAGCCGAGGCCGAGGCGAGCCCGCCCUCGAAACCCAACUCCAUUGGCUUAGAAGCUGAUGAAAGGGGCAUGGUUAGCUGGGGGCGAACAACAAGGCGGUGUCGCAAGCCAAGAUGCCCGUUGGGCAAUAGCGUCGCCGCUUCGUCCUGA